rnacentral:rRNA from 1 species
UACGGGGGGGGGGCAAGCGUUGUUCGGAAUUACUGGGCGUAAAGGGCCAGUAGGCGGCCAACUAAGUCGGAUGUGAAAUCCCCAGGCUUAACCUGGGAACUGCAUCCGAUACUGGAUGGCUUGAAUUCGGGAGAGGGAUGCAGAAUUCCAGGUGUAGCGGUGAAAUGCGUAGAUAUCUGGAGGAAUACCGGUGGCGAAGGCGGCAUCCUGGACCGACAUUGACGCUGAACGGCGAAAGCUAGGGGAGCAAACGGG